AUUGAACGCUGGCGGCAUGCCUUACACAUGCAAGUCGAACGGUAACGCGGGGCAACCUGGCGACGAGUGGCGAACGGGUGAGUAACAUAUCGGAACGUGCCCAGUAGUGGGGGAUAGCCCGGCGAAAGCCGGAUUAAUACCGCAUACGACCUACGGGUGAAAGCGGGGGAUCGCAAGACCUCGCGCUAUUGGAGCGGCCGAUAUCAGAUUAGGUAGUUGGUGGGGUAAAAGCCUACCAAGCCGACGAUCUGUAGCUGGUCUGAGAGGACGACCAGCCACACGGGGACUGAGACACGGCCCAGACUCCUACGGGAGGCAGCAGUGGGGAAUUUUGGACAAUGGGCGAAAGCCUGAUCCAGCCAUGCCGCGUGCGGGAAGAAGGCCUUCGGGUUGUAAACCGCUUUUGUCAGGGAAGAAAGGCUCUGGGCUAAUACCCUGGGGCGAUGACGGUACCUGGAGAAUAAGCACCGGCUAACUACGUGCCAGCAGCCGCGGUAAAAC
rnacentral:rRNA from 1 species